UAGGGAAUCUUCGGCAAUGGACGAAAGUCUGACCGAGCAACGCCGCGUGAGUGAAGAAGGUUUUCGGAUCGUAAAACUCUGUUGUUAGAGAAGAACAAGGACGUUAGUAACUGAACGUCCCCUGACGGUAUCUAACCAGAAAGCCACGGCUAACUACGUGCCAGCAGCCGCGGUAAUACGUAGGUGGCAAGCGUUGUCCGGAUUUAUUCGGCGUAAAGCGAGCGCAGGCGGUUUCUUAAGUCUGAUGUGAAAGCCCCCGGCUCAACCGGGGAGGGUCAUUGGAAACUGGGAGUCUUGAGUGGAGAAGAGGAGAGUGGAAUUCCAUGUGUAGCGGUGAAAUGCGUAGAUAUAUGGAGGAACACCAGUGGCGAAGGCGGCUCUCUGGUCUGUAACUGACGCUGAGGCUCGAAAGCGUGGGGAGCAAACAGG
rnacentral:rRNA from 1 species